UUAUUUAGUAUUUUACUUGCCUUUUUUGUUUAUCUUAUUGUUGGAGAAGUAAUUUUUUAUUAAGUAAUAUUUUUUGAAAGAUACUUUUUAGUAAUAGUUUAUUAGUACUGUAAAGGAAUAUUUUAAAUAAAUUGAAAAAUUUUAUUUUUAUAAGUAUAUUUUAUUUAUAUUACCUUUUGUAUCAGGGUUGAUCUAAUUUUUAUAAUAUAUUUUGCCUUCUCGAUUUUAUAAGAGCUAAUAAUUUAUUUUAUUUUAUGUGUUAAAAUAAUUAAUAAUAUUUAUUAGGGGGGAAAUCUCAUUCGUUUAUAAGGGUAUCUAGUUUUUUAAGAAUUAAAUUUAAUUUAAUCCUGAAACUUACUUUUUUCUUUUUUAUUUAUUUAUUUUUUAGGUUAUAACUAGUGGGGGAUAAGCUCUGCUUUUUUACUAUAAAAUUUUAUUUUGAUAAUUUUAGUAGGCCUAAAAUCAACCAUCUUUAAAUUACGUUAUAGUUUAUUUUAUUUUUAUUUGAUUUUCUUCUUUUUAGUUUUUUAUUAAAAUAAUUUAUUUAACUUUAUUAUAAUUGUAAUAAUGAUUAAAUUAGUAUAAAUUUUUGUUUGUUAUUUAUUUUUCUUUAAUUAUAAUUAAGGAACUCGGCAAAUCUAAUUUUCGCCUGUUUAUCAAAAACAUGUCCUCAUGUUUUUAUUUGAGGUUUGGCCUGCCCGGUGAUUUUAAUUUAACGGCCGCGGUAUAUUGACCGUGCAAAGGUAGCAUAAUCAUUAGUCUUUUAAUAGGAGGCUGGAAUGAAAGGUUUAACGAAAAAUUAGCUGUCUCAAUUAUAAAUUUGAAUUUAACUUUUAAGUUAAAAGGCUUAAAUUUUUUUGUAGGACGAGAAGACCCUAUAGAGCUUUACAUUUAAUAUUUUGUUAUAUUGAUUUAGAUUAAUAUUUUUAAUUAACUUUAAAAAAUGUUUUGUUGGGGUGACAAGAAAUAUAUAUUUAACUUUUAUUAUUAUAUUUUCAUUAAUUUAUGAUUAUUGGAUCCAAAAUUUUUGAUCAUUAGAAUAAGUUACCUUAGGGAUAACAGCGUAAUCUUCCCUCAGAGUUCAAAUUUACGGGAAGGGUUGCGACCUCGAUGUUGGAUUAAGAUAACAGUUGGGUGCAGUAGCUCAAUUUGUAGGUCUGUUCGACCUUUAAAUUCUUACAUGAUCUGAGUUCAGACCGGUUUAAGCCAGGUCGGUUUCUAUCCUCAAAUUUAUUUUAGUUUUUAGUACGAAAGGACCAUUACUAUGAAAUAAUUUUUAUUAUUUGAUUUUCAUUA
rnacentral:rRNA from 1 species